AAUCUAUGAUGAUUCCCUUAGUAACGGCGAGUGAACAGGGAGAAGCCCAAAUUUGUAAUCUGGCACUUUUUACAAGUGUCCGAGUUGUAAUUUGUAGAACUGUUAUCCGUGCUGGACCAUGUACAAGUCUGUUGAAAAGCAGCAUCGUUGAAGGUGAAAAUCCUGUAAAUGAUAUGGACUACCAGUACUUUUGUGAUACGGUUUCUAAGAGUCGAGUUGUUUGGGAAUGCAGCUCAAAGUGGGUGGUAAAUUCCAUCUAAGGCUAAAUAUAAGUGAGAGACCGAUAGCAAACAAGUACCGUGAGGGAAAGAUGAAAAGAACUUUGAAAAUAGAGUUAACAGUACGUGAAAUUGCUGAAAGGGAAACGUUUGAAGUUAGUUUUGUAUUCGUUGGAUCAGCUUCGCAAGGAGUGUAUUCUGAUGAUAAGCAAGUCAACAUCAGUCUAUGAGUGUUGGAGAAGGGUUUUGAGAAUGUAGCAAUUUAAUUGUGUUAUAGCUUGAGACUUGGAUACGAUGCUUUGGAUUGAGGAACGCGUAGUAAGC
rnacentral:rRNA from 1 species